UACAGAGGUGGCAAGCGUUGUUCGGAAUCACUGGGCUUAAAGGGCGCGUAGGCGGCAGAUCAAGUCCGGGGUGAAAUCCUCCAGCUCAACUGGAGAAGUGCCUUGGAUACUGAUUUGCUCGAGGGAGGUAGGGGUCGAGGGAACUUCUGGUGGAGCGGUGAAAUGCGUUGAUAUCAGAAGGAACGCCGGUGGCGAAAGCGCUCGACUGGAUCUCUUCUGACGCUGAGGCGCGAAAGCUAGGGGAGCAAACGGG
rnacentral:rRNA from 1 species